rnacentral:lncRNA from 1 species
GAGAGACCAGAGGAAAUACAGCUCGAGGAAGGCAUUUCUACAGCUUAUGCCUAAAACACAGCGCCUGGAGUAGUAGCUUGAAUGUUUCUGGACUCAAGGAAUCUCAGAAGUAGACCUACAGGGAGGCAAGAUAGUUUCUCACUGCCUGUUCUAUCACCAUGGAUGGCAUUAUCUCAGUGUGGGCUACUGAACGCUGGUGAUAUCUAGGCAGAAUCCAGGAACUCAGUAAGUCGAGGAACAGAGGCCUCUCACGAGGGAAGACAGUAUCGUUUUAUACUUGUGGAAAUGGCCACAAUCCUAUUCAUCUUACAGUUAUGGAGGACAGCCAUCCACAACAACUUUCCUGGGUAAAUUGCUUUUGCCAGUCCUAUGUUCCUGCUUCAGGAAUUUGAAGAGCUUCUGUGAGCCUUUUCUAGUUCCCAAUAGACAUCGACAUUCCAUGGGUCUUGGCUCCCCUGCCUACAUUCUCCAAGUACAUCACCCCAACCGCUGCUUCCAAGAAAAUCUGUAUUUCUGAUCUUUUUCCUCUCUGUAACAAAGUCCUGUGGGACUACAUUGGGCUGACACGGGUAUAUAAUCGAGAAUAAUCAUGCUUUUAUAGCCCCUCUAAUUUACUGAGACCUUCAAAUAAUUCUUUGCUGUAAUAUAAUCUCGAGUGCUGAUUAGUAGAGCAUGGAUAUCUGGAGAGGCUGUUCUUCAGCUUAUCACAGACUAUUAUGGUCAUUAUUGUAGACCUUGCUAUUAGUACAUUUUAGUACCAGGAGAAAAACACAUGCUGAGUUUAAUUUUUUUUAACCCCAUUUUACUCAGUCUGCAAAACAAGAACUACUCCCCGAUGAACAGCUCUUACCAUGUGAGGGAACAAAACAUUAGUAACCAAUAGAAUUGAUUAUCACCAAGGGUCAUUGUUAUUUUAUGUAUCAAUAAAUUUUUAAAGAGCAUUGUUAAUAAGCUUAUUUUCUACCUAAUGUAAGAGACAUUGCAAUUCUAUGCAUGUUGAGAUAAAAUAAAAGUGUCUUUUUUUCUUUUUUGA